UUACGGCCAUAUCACGUUGAAAUACCGGUUUUCGUAUGACCACCAAAGUUAAGCAACAUUGAGCUUGGUCAGUACUCAGGUGGGUAGUUCUUUCGGAAUACCAAGUGCUGUAA